AUCCAGCUGACAAGUCCCAGAUGGGACGAAACGCGCGUCCUGGAU
rfam:Schistosoma rodhaini strain Burundi genome assembly, scaffold: SROB_scaffold0000065